ensembl:snoRNA
CGCCAAGUUACUCAACAAAUAGACACAGCUCACUGUGUGUCUGAAUUGAAGAAUGUGGCUAGAAAAGGAACAGGUUGUGCUUUCCUCACUGUAUAGUUAGUUGCAGUGGUGACAAUGAGACUUGUAAGAGGU